rnacentral:rRNA from 1 species
CGCGGCCUAUCAGCUUGUUGGUGGGGUGAUGGCCUACCAAGGCGACGACGGGUAGCCGGCCUGAGAGGGCGACCGGCCACACUGGGACUGAGACACGGCCCAGACUCCUACGGGAGGCAGCAGUGGGGAAUAUUGCACAAUGGGCGAAAGCCUGAUGCAGCGACGCCGCGUGAGGGAUGACGGCCUUCGGGUUGUAAACCUCUUUCAGCAGGGAAGAAGCGCAAGUGACGGUACCUGCAGAAGAAGCGCCGGCUAACUACGUGCCAGCAGCCGCGGUAAUACGUAGGGCGCAAGCGUUGUCCGGAAUUAUUGGGCGUAAAGAGCUCGUAGGCGGUUUGUCACGUCGGAUGUGAAAGCCCGGGGCUUAACCCCGGGUCUGCAUUCGAUACGGGCAGACUAGAGUGUGGUAGGGGAGAUCGGGAUUCCUGGUGUAGCGGUGAAAUGCGCAGAUAUCAGGAGGAACACCGGUGGCGAAGGCGGAUCUCUGGGCCAUUACUGACGCUGAGGAGCGAAAGCGUGGGGAGCGAACAGGAUUAGAUACCCUGGUAGUCCACGCCGUAAACGUUGGGAACUAGGUGUUGGCGACAUUCCACGUCGUCGGUGCCGCAGCUAACGCAUUAAGUUCCCCGCCUGGGGAGUACGG